UUUUCCCCGGCCACAGGCUUGGCGAGUCUCUACUCCAUGGGGCUGGUUUUGGCCUCCUGGUUGUGGCCCCUGGACAGGAUCUCGGCCAGCAGAUCCGAAGGCUACGAAGGCGGCGUGGCCGGCAACCCCAUCCAAAUUGCUCACCGGAUCAUCUUGCUAGUGGAGUCCAUCCUCUUCGGCCUCUUCGUCACGGUGAUAUUUUACGACCAGGUGGUCUCCAUCAUCACCGACGAGACCGCCGUGGAGCAGCUGCGCAACCGGCUUCAGAGGGAGGGUCCCCAGGUGGGGAGCCACACACGCAAACCCAAGAUUGCCCUCCUGCGUGAGGUCUUCGGCCGAGGUUUGGUCGUCUGCUGGUUUUUCCCCUGCAACUUCACCUCUCCGUCCACCAGCGGGCCGUCUUACAGCUACCUGCCCAACUACGACGUCUGACCUCCUGGCCCGCCCCUCUCCGCUCGCUUCUCUUUCUCUCUUGGGGGGGGGGGGAGAGGCACGCCCCUCCCCCCCCAAUUCAUCGGCUGCAGCAAAAGAAGGCGACCCCCAGACGAGAGGAUCGCUGCGGUCGCUAAGCCAAAUCGCACCGUCCUUAAGCGAAUCCGGAUUCGCUCGUCGGAAGCCGGCUGGGAUGGCCACAAAGGAUGAAUCCUGUGGCCCCAGGGACCCUUGGAACUGUCAUAAAUACGAGUGUCCAAAUUUGAUCCUGGAACCAGGGAGACCAGCCAUGACCAGCAAUUCUUGGCCAUAACUUCCCUUUUUAAUUCCGGUCCCGUCGUAACUUAGGUCACUCAACGGACGGUUGUAAGCGAAGGACCUGCUGUAUUUAAAUCUCCCUCUCUAGCCUCUGCGGGAGGUACAACUCUAUCCCCCCCCUUUGUUCCUGAAACAGCCAGGUCAGUCCCGAAAAACAGCCCCCACCCCCAACGCCUUCCCAAACACACCAACACAGCGUCCCUCUUUCUUACACCUGGUGAGUGUGACCCCUUUUUGCUUUGUAAGCCCCUCUCCCCAUUUCCAGCUCCUUUCGAGUCCUGGGUUCAGAUCUUACCUAUCUCACCCAAGAGACCCUUGGUUAAAGGUGUUCAUUUUUUACCUGCUCCUCCCCAUUUCACAGCGAUGAGCGGCGAAACACAUUCGCCGCCCUAAUUUUUCCAAUGCUGGGGGGGGGGUGAGGGGGGCAGAAUGUUCCCCCCGCCUCGACCUCGUCCCUCCUGCACAAAACAAGGGGUGGGAUUCAUUUCCUUCCUUUACCCAGAAUUGUCUCUCCUGCCUCCUCCUCCAAACUCAUCCCCCGGGGCCCCUGUUUACCUGUAAAUAGACUUAUUUAUUCACUUUAUUUAUUGAGGCUGCCUCACUGGCAGCUUAA